rfam:Mus musculus chromosome 6, GRC primary reference assembly.
AGCCCCUGGCAAUGGACAAAGAGACACCUUGUUGGUGGCAUUCUUAUAUCAGUCUGGGCAGAGCAGAUGGCAGUCCUUUGUUCAUACUAGUUCGAUGCCUAGCUUGGUGGCCAAAGCUGUUUUGUGCCUAGGACAUUUGA